rnacentral:lncRNA from 1 species
AGUCCCGGCUAGGGACACAGCUCUUAGACUUUGAGCUAGACAACCAGGAGGACAGGAGGACCUAGUAUCCUGCCUCCAUCAGCCCAUCAUUUAUGCAAAUGCUACUUAGUUGCCGUCUAGAUGCAGGAUGCUGUCUGCCCUGUUAAAUGCUGUGUGAACCCAGAUGGAAGCUGAGCAGACAUCACACUCAUGCUGAGAUUAAAGGCAUGUGCCAUCACCACCUGAACAACAGCAGCUUUCUAAGGAACCAGUAAGGCACUACAGACUUUUCAUAUAACAUCACCUUCAUUCUCUCACAACUAAUUCUACAAAACAGAUGUUAUACGACCUCGUUCGCUGAAGUCAAAGAUGCAGAGGGGCCAAGGUGUGGGCUCCGGACCUCACACCAGUGUGGCAGAUUCAACAAGCCCAGAAUAAGCCUCUUCCUUUGCUCACAAUAAGAUUUAUUAUAGAAGCAACAACUUCUGCAUACCAGAGGUGAGAGAUGCAGCAAUCCUCUCCGUGCUCAUGAAGCUUAAAAUUUGGGGGAGAAAGUAGAGAAAAAUUAAGCCAACUGCCUCUUCAUUCCUCAGUCACACUCCUCCUCUGACCCUGCUCCAGGAGGCUCAUCUUGUCAGACUUCACACUGAAUGAGCGCUGAGGAUGCUGUAGAGUAUGAGCUGUGUGCAGGUGAUAGCAGUGGAAAGAAGACUAAGACAGACUCCAUCUAGAAACCAGAAUGACCUCUUUUAUGGAAAAAGAGACUGUAUCACUCGUGUUUCUACCCACAAAAACCUCCACUGUGAGCUCUCUCUCACCUAGGCAGGAGUCUGCAUGGCCCCGCUCUUGCCACAUCGCCAACCCCAGCCUUUGUCACUCUCUCAUAACCACUCUGUCCCUGUACAGAUACAUGAUCUGUUCCUCCCACACAUCAGCUCUUCCUGACGCUGGGCCUUUGCAUAUGUUCUUCUGCCUCAUGCCUUUCCUCCUCUUCCUGCAGGAUUGCUAUCUUCUGGUCCUGUACUCCUCAAGCUCAAAGGCCAACGUCCUGGCAUUUGUGUGACGGCUUUUGCCCUACCCUGCAGAAUUUGCAAUAGGCAGUCUCUACAUGUACUCAGGGCCCAGUGGGCAUUCAACAUGUUCAUUGAAUGACAA